GGAGGGAUAGCCUAGUCGGUCUAAGGCGGUCGCCUGCUAAGCGAUUGUGGGUCCUUAAAGCCCACCGUGGGUUCGAAUCCCACUCCCUCCG
rnacentral:tRNA from 1 species